ensembl:lncRNA
GGCCUGUUGUGCGCAGUAUUCCUCUGAGACUCGGGAGAAAGAGCCGGGGGUCUCCGUGCCUGGUGGGGCCGUUUUCCCCCCGACUCCCCCUCCUCCCUUUUAUUCCCCUCUCGCAGACCAUGGCCGUCCCUCUUUCCCCCACGCUGGUGCUGGGCGAGGCCUCGGAGAGCGACUCAGAGCCGGAGCCGGGGGGGAACACAGCCGGGACUCCCGCAGUGGGGCUGAAGGUUCCGGGGGAGGCGUCGGAGACCGAGGAGGAGGAGGAAGAGGACAGUGCGGCCCGGAUGCCGCUGCCAGGGGUGUCCAGGGGGGGCCCCUCACUGCUGCAGCAGCGGCUGGGGGCGGGCGAGGGGCGACUGCGGGGCGCAAUGGCUGAGGCACUGGGACGCAGUUUCAGUGGGGCUGCGCGGCUGCUGGAAGGUCUGGGGGGGCCCCUGGGCCACGCCCAAGCUGGGGCAGCUGCGACCGCGCACUGCCUGUGCCUGGUGCGCCGUGACCUGCGCGCUGUGGCUGCCACCGUAGCCACCAUCACCGCCUGUCACCUGCUGCCUGACAUCCGUGGGGAGCUGUGAGAGUGGGAAUGUCUGUGGGAGGGGGGGGGGGGGCAGUGCUGGCAGCUGUGGGGAGCUCCUGGCGUUGUUGUUGCAGUGUCACUGACACUGACCUUCAGCACUGUGUCCAAUGGACUCGAGGGUUGUGGUUGUCACUGAUGACAUUCUCAUUGUCACUGCAUUGCCAGUGCUGUGUCCCCUUGAGCUGAUGCUGCCAUCAACAGCACUGCCGCUGAUCGCUCAGUGUCCCAGCGAUGUCCCUGUGUCACCUGGCCUGUGGGGACCUUGGCCUCACAGUGACGUUGUCAGUGAAUGGAAGCUCCUGACGAUUGAUUGAUGCAGAAUUCUGUAGUUUUGCCCUGUAUAGGGGAUCUGUGGGUUCUGGCACUGACUAAAGCCCUUUGGAGACAUAGCUGCAGCAAGGACACAGCUUUCACUAGGUGGGUGGCAGUGUGUUCACCCACGGCACUGUGGUCCCAGUGGUCUGAGCAAGGUCCCUUUUGUUGCCCCCCAUGUCCUUGGGCUGUGGUUGUGUCCUGUGCGUCCCUUCCUGCCAUAUGAAUGUCUCCAGCAUCUGGCCACUGUCCCCAAGCUGUGGCUAUGUCCUGUCACCCUAAGUGCCCCUUGGCCUUGUCCUUAGCUCUCUCCUACCUCUGUGUACCCCUCUGAGAACUUCAGCCAGGGACAGGGAGAAGUACAUACGAAUCUCACACCACGGAGCCACAUGGGUCUGUCACGCUGCAUCCUGCCUGGGCUGUCACGUCCUGUGGGACACCAGGGGAUACACCCUGGGUGCUAGUGGGCUUGUGGCACCAAAAUGCCCGGGGCCUGAUGAGGGUCCUGGGGGCUCCUGGCGUCUCCAGAAGGGUCCCAACUGUCCCCAGGGACUGACCUGAGGGGUAGUGGAAAACCAGGAUGAAGGUUUUGUGAAGAGCACAGUGGUGUUGGAUUCUGUUCAUAAAGAUUCUAGACCUCAGUUCCCUUCCCGUAUCCAAAUUAGAAUGAAAGAUAGUAUUAACAAUUCAUCUUUUGAGGAAGAACCUCUGAGCACUUGUAACUGGCAGUGCUUUGAUAUUCUAGGUAACCUGUUCCAUAAGGAGUGCUGGGUGAUGCUGGCUGAUACUGUCAAUUGUGAGCAUGCUCCACAGAAAGUUUCCCUCUGUGGGAGUGAGGAAACAAAAUGUGGUGAUUCAGUACUGUGGGGUUAUUAUGGGGUUACUAGAGUCUAGGAUUCUAGAGUCUGAGGAUUCUAUGAAUUGAUUAUUGGAGGAUUCUAUGAGGAUGCUAUGAGGAUACCAGCUCCUGUGAUUAUAAGUUCUGUUAUUUCAGAUUCUGUGAUCGUUUCAUGAUUCUAGAUUCCUUGACUCUGUGAUGAUUCUGGGCUUCAGUUGUGUGGUGAUUCUGAUUCCUCACUAAGAGUAUAGAUUCCCAGACUUGUAGCUACGCAAUACGAUGCGUUUCCAUCUCCACUCCUGUGCAUAGUGUGUGGCAUAGUUCUGAGUGCCUGACACAGCCCAAGCAAAAUCAAUUUCUGUAGGUUAUUACUAAAUAAAUAAAUAAAUCAAUAAAUUUCUUGCUUUAGUUUCUGCUCCCUGAUCCAUUUAUUUAUGUUCUCCCUUGCUUCAUAUGUAACUUCCAAACUUGGCAUUUUGCAGAUAGUACCUUUUCCCCCUUUCGUCCUUUGGUGGCCCCUAAUGGUCUCUUCUUUCUCAGUUAGAACAGUUGUCAUGAGCCUAUUCAUAUAGGAAUUUGGGACUGGAGUUCACUCCGUGACUCUUAUCAUAGUUGAUGUCCCUAGUUGCUAUCGUGCAGACUUCACCAAUUUAUAACAGAUGGAUACAGCUACGAUAUACACUCCUAAGAGGGAAGCAGGAAUGUAUAUUUAUUGAUGUAAUGUAGAUAUGCUGUAGUGAUAUGACAGUGACUUAACAAGACUGGAGAUGGCUGGAUACACUUGGUUAUUUUCCACAUAGAGGGCAGGAUUAAACACACACCUACAGGACGCUCUCCUGCUGUGUCAUGAGGAUCAGAGCAGACCCCGUUGCUGUCUGAACUCUUCAAACCACAGAGGUAAGGAUCCUCAGCACAGCUGGAUCCACUCCUUGUCCCAGACGCGUUCAAGAGUUUGUGUCUAAGGGAUCCUAU